rnacentral:misc_RNA from 1 species
AAUGUCGUAACAAGGUUUCCGUAGGUGAACCUGCGGAAGGAUCUAUCCGAUUAAGGGGCUUAGGGUCCCCCUUUUUGGGGGGGGGCCCCCAGAAAAGCCCUUCCCCCGAAAUCCCCAUGGUUCCUAAUUUUGUUUAACCCCUUCUAUUUGGGCUUUGCGGGCGGGGUCCCGGCCCCUGCCCUGACCCAACGGGCUCCCCGGCUGGCCCGCCUGGUUCGUGUUCGCGGUUCCAGUGCGGAAUUUCGGCAGAGCUCGGCCCCAGCCCGAUGGCCCCGAACACAAAAAGCCUCUGGCUACGAAAGCACUGUCGUCUAAAUACCUUGAUUUAUUCAAAAAUCAAAAU